rnacentral:rRNA from 1 species
AGCAGCCGCGGUAAUUCCAGCUCCAAUAGCGUAUAUUAAAGUUGUUGCAGUUAAAAAGCUCGUAGUUGAAUUUCGGAAUCAGUAUGUCGGUCGUGCCUCCGGUAUGUACUGGCGUCACUGGUUCCUCCCUUCUGACGAACCAUCAUGCUAUUAAUUUAGUGUGGUGGGAAAUCAGGACUGUUACUUUGAAAAAAUUAGAGUGUUUAAAGCAGGCUCACGCUUGAAUACAUUAGCAUGGAAUAAUGAAAUAGGACGUUGAUCCUAUUUUGUUGGUUUCUAGGAUUGACGUAAUGAUUAAUAGGGAUAGUUGGGGGCAUUAGUAUUCAAUUGUCAGAGGUGAAAUUCUUGGAUGUAU